ACCACGUCCCCUCCAAAUAAAUAAUCCCCAGCUGCCCAUUCCCCGCAGCUGGUGAAACUUCCUUUGCCUCUCAUCUUUGCUCCCUUGUUACUGGACUUCUCCUAAUACUCUUCUAACCCCCCGCUUUUUUUUCUUCUUCGGGUGGGGAGCGCCUGGGCUGGAGCUAAAGGUGAAGGUAAAUCUCCCGCCGACGGCGCGGGCAAAGGGAGCCCCUGAGGGCUCUGCCGCGCCCCUCGUGCUCUGGUUUUCCUCUCCCUGAAGCGCUGUGUACACAACGGGCUCGCUUCUGCCUUUCAAUUAGGUGACAGAGGGAACGGCCACCGGAGGAGACGGGAUCUCUGAGGAGAGCGGGGAGCAACGGCAUCCCUUCCGGCCGCAACAGUGAUGCAGCUGUAAAGUGACUCAGUUGUCACCCUGUGGUGACAAGGGACCCUCCUGAAACAGAAGGACAUAUGUGAACAAGGAAUCCACUGUAUGAAGAGUACAACAGAUCCAAAGCAUCCCACUAUUGCAGAGAGUUACAUACCAAGGACCAGAUACCUGCGCCUUAAACAAACCUCCCUAACAUACUGCAUACUCUUUAUUCUGCACUGCAGAAUGCAUCCUUGAGCUUUCUGAAACACAUGAAAUGACACAGAAUGAAAUGAGAAGUUAUUUUGAGAGAGGGGAGUGAUAUUGUAAAAACCUAUCUGGAAGACAGCUGCAACACUGCUGGCUCCUGCUUUUGGCUGUGUAUGCUACACAAAUACGAAUGUCUCUUACACUUGAUUAAAGGUUUUGGUGUCUUUGAGUGCAAUUUCAAAACAUAUCCCAGUAAGUGGCAUCAUGAUGACAUCCACACAGCUGAGACCUCUGGCACUCCUAGUAUCUGAACACUGGCUAACUGUGACAAGUUGCUCUCCUACAGCAGUAUCACAGUUUUAAAAAAAUUGUGUUUCUUGUGUCCCAGUUGUGCAGUGAGUGAGACACCACAUCUGCACAAAAUUAUGCCAUUAACUCACUGUUUUCACCAUCUGUCCUUUUCCAUUUUACCAUCCUUUCCGCAUUCUUGACUACUCUUAACCAUGUGAUCCAGCCCCAUCCUUCUAUAUCUUCCAUCACUUCUAAGUUUCUUUCCCUUUUAUCCCACCCUCACUCCAUAUCUCAGUUUCAUUGAUUUCUGUCUAUGAUCUCAGCAUACUUGAUGACACCAUCUGAAAUUCCCUUGAAAUCUCAGGCUCUAGGUGUUCUGAUUGUUAUCUAGAUUCCUUACUGAACUGGUAGCUUCGACACAUCUCUUUCGCAAAUAAUGGGCACAAUGCUUAGGACUCAGAAGGCAGCCACUGAGGACAUGGGAAAACUUUGUUUUCAGUUCAGGAACCUGGGUCUUACUUGGACUGAGUUCAGAACUGCAGUCACAGGACUUGCCAAAAACCUAAAUUCAAACACAUCCAGUACAGGUGGAAUAUUGAAGACCAAGAUGUCUACAGAAUUAUGCAAUUUGAGAUUUUUAUUAAUUUACUAAGCCAGGACACAUUUUCACUACCAAAGUGUGUGCUUUGGACUGAGUAUUAUUUGAGAAGAUUUCACUAAAAAUGAUUGAACUAUUUCCCAGGAUGAACUCUUGAGGAAAACAGGUAUUUUUCCCCCUGUAUGUUAGGAAUAUAGACUGCAUACAUUUAAGAAGCUCUAGUAUCUUCAAGCUUUAGUCCAGGGAAUUUAUUUCUAUUUAGCCUGGUUUUGAUACAAAGAACUGAGAGCAAUACAAUGCAUACUUACUCAACUGUCAAGCUAUUUCAAAUAAAUAAAUUUAGCUUAGCAGGAUCUUCACUAGAAUUCCUGUUUCCUGCCAAGACAACAGUCCCCAACAGCAGAACAAUUGUGACUAAGAAGAUAUAAUUGCAUUAUCCUAGUUCUGAGUUCAUAAAGCAUGAUAGGAACGGAAGCUGCUUAAUUCAAAUGCAGAGGAACAAAGAAAUAGGAGGAAGAGAUGUAGAACACAAGGAAAGGAACAGGACCUGAACAAUAUCCCAACUAUUACAGUAGUACUAAAUAAUGUCUCUUAAUGGGUAAGACUAUGUUGUGAAAGAAGAUACAAGUUCUGCUGACUAUCUACACUAAUGAUCUCAUGAGUCCUUCCUAGUGUCAUAAAACAUCAAAUAUCAAAGAAAAUUAUUUUAAUUAAAUGUUGAUCUUAUAGUAUUUUAUUUGAUAGAAUGUUCCUUUAUUUAUUUUCUGGACAUACAAACUCUGCCUAUGUUAUAUAAAUAUGUUUUAGCAGUUAAGACUGCAGAAAUUCCACCUGGCACAUUUGCAGAACUGACCUUUUCUUUCCCCUUUUCAUCACCAUCUUCCAAAAAACAUACACUUAAGUUGCUGUAAGACAGGUACAGUAGAUGACUUCCCAUUCCUUAGUACUUGGAGCUUGAGCUGAAUAGGUUUGUUUGCUCAAGCUAGAUACUUGUUUGAAGCUCAGAGAAGUAAUUGUACAAAUAUUUGAGAUAUGCUUUCAGCUAAUACAAAAGUGAAGACAAUUCCUUGUUUUUUUCCCCAUGAUAUAUCAAACAACAGGUGUGUAAUACACACGUACACUUGUACCAAGCACACUUGUGUAAGCACUAAUCUCCACUAAUACCUGACAGUAAUUAGAAAUCCAGAAUAACACAUUUUUAAACUAUAUUCAUGUUUCCCUUAUGUUAAAUCUCAUUUAACUCAGGAAACCUUUAUUAAGGUUAGAAUGACAGAAAGCAAAUGUUGAGAAAUUUAAAAUCUAAUAGCUAUUUUCAUUAUGUCCUGGUGAUACUUUUUGUUUGUUUGCUUACCCUUGCCAGAGAAGCUCAUCAUUAGCAAGAUCCUGCCAGACACAUGAAGCUAGACAGAGAUCAGUUGCAUUCAGGUAUGACAAAAUGGUAAAACUAAGCUCUGGUGGCAGCAUUUCCAGGUUAAUGAAUCCUUCUUGUUCUUUAGAUUUUCUUGUCUUCAACAGGUGGUAGAUAUCAAUGCCUCCUUGAGCUUGUUUGCGAUGGUUUGUAUUGGAAACAUUGUUAGUAGCUAUCCUCCUACCAUGUUCUCUGGUAAGAUAGCUUUGUCCACUGUAUCCUUGGUGUUGCAGUUGCUGGCUCCUUGCAACUCUCCAGAGUCCUUGACCCAUCUGCGAGCCUGCUGGACAUAAAAUCUAAAUUAAAUGUUGACAACUCUUUAUAAAUAUUUGUAAGAUAGACUCAGCACACACUAGAAAAAUGAAAUUGUAGGGCUGAUCUGAAUACAAAAAAGAAGAGUUUUGUCAAAGUUAUGCUGAUGAUGUAAUCUGCCUCUAAUGGAGCAACUGAAUAAACACUGAAAAGAAAAACCAUAAAAAAUAUAAGUUUAUUUUUUAAAAACCUUUCUAUGCUUGAAGAGCUAUGAAAUUAACAAUAAGCUUCUGCAAACAGCACCAAACAUUAUCUAUAUCCUAUGGAACUUAAGAAGCCUUAACCAUCAUAACAUUUGGAAUUAUCAUCUUCAGACUUCCUUUAAAAUUUAAUAUAGAUACCUUAUUUAGAGUUAAUGAAGUUCUAUGAAAUAUAAGAAGAAAUAAAAAUGUCCUCAGUAGUGGGCAGCACACAAAACGAGGCUGUGACUGACAUUAACACAAAGCUUAACAACGUCAAUGAUAAUCCAUUAAGGAUUUAGUUUCUUGUUUCUGAACAGCCAAAAUAUCUUUUCAAGUUUUCUUGCACAGUAGCAUAAAACCUUCAUGAUAAGGCUUUUUUAUCUUACUUAUCACCCUGUUUGCUAUUUUUUGUCAAACUUUGCUACAGAUGGUAAUAAAAAUAACAGACCCUGAA